rnacentral:rRNA from 1 species
UACGGAGGGUGCAAGCGUUAUCCGGAUUCACUGGGUUUAAAGGGAGCGUAGGUGGGUUGGUAAGUCAGUGGUGAAAUCCCCGAGCUUAACUUGGGAACUGCCAUUGAUACUAUCAGUCUUGAAUACUGUGGAGGUUAGCGGAAUAUGUCAUGUAGCGGUGAAGUGCUUAGAUAUGACAUAGAACACCAAUUGCGAAGGCAGCUGGCUACACAAAUAUUGACACUGAUGCACGAAAGCGUGGGGAUCAAACAGG